CCUGCCCGGGAGAUCGGGAUAACAGUUCGAAAGGGCUGCUAAUACCGGAUGAUAUCUUUUCUUUUCGGAGGGAAGAUCAAAGCGUUUAGCGCUCUCGGAUGGGCCCGCGUCCCAUUAGUUAGUUGGUGGGGUAAUGGCCUACCAAGGCAGCGAUGGGUAGCCGGUCUGAGAGGAUGUUCGGCCACACUGGGACUGAGACACGGCCCAGACUCCUACGGGAGGCAGCAGUGGGGAAUUUUGCGCAAUGGGGGAAACCUUGACGCAGCGACGCCGCGUGAGUGAUGAAGGCCUUCGGGUUGUAAAGCUCUGUUGGGGGGGAAGAUAGUGACGGUACCCCCUGAGGAAGCCCCGGCUAACUACGUGCCAGCAGCCGCGGUAAGACGUAGGGGGCGAGCGUUGUCCGGAAUUACUGGGCGUAAAGGGCGUGUAGGCGGCUUUUCAAGUCGGCUGUGAAAUUCCUUGUGCUUACUGAAGGUGUGCAGUCGAAACUGAUGGGCUUGAGUGCAGGAGAGGGUGGUGGAAUUCCCGGUGUAGCGGUGACAUGCGUAGAUAUCGGGAGGAACACCGGUGGCGAAGGCGGGCUCCUGGCCUGUUACUGACGCUGAGGCGCGAAAGCCGGGGGAGCAAACAGGAUUAGAUACCCUGGUAGUCCCGGCCGUAAACUCUGGGUACUA
rnacentral:rRNA from 1 species